rnacentral:rRNA from 1 species
UACGUAGGGGGCAAGCGUUGUCCGGAAUCAUUGGGCGUAAAGAGCGUGUAGGCGGCCCGGUAAGUCCGCUGUGAAAGUCGAGGGCUCAACCCUCGAAUGCCGGCGGAUACUGUCGGGCUAGAGUCCGGAAGAGGCGAGUGGAAUUCCUGGUGUAGCGGUGAAAUGCGCAGAUAUCAGGAGGAACACCUACGGCGAAGGCAGCUCGUUGGGACGGUACUGACGCUGAGAAGCGAAAGCAUGGGGAGCGAACAGG